rnacentral:rRNA from 1 species
AUUGAACGCUGGCGGCAGGCCUAACACAUGCAAGUCGAACGAGUGGCGGACGGGUGAGUAAUGUCUGGGAAACUGCCCGAUGGAGGGGGAUAACUACUGGAAACGGUAGCUAAUACCGCAUACCAUCGGAUGUACCCAGAUGGGAUUAGCUAGUAGGUGGGGUAAUGGCUCACCUAGGCGACGAUCCCUAGCGGGUCUGAGAGGAGGACCGGCCACACUGGAACUGAGCAACGGUCCGAACUCCUCCGGGAGGCAGCAGUGGGGAAUAUUGCACAAUGGGCGCAGGCCGGAUGCAGCCAGGCCGCGUGGUUGAAGAAGGCCGUCGGGUUGUAAAGUACUUUCAUCGGGGAGGCGUUACCCGCAGAAGAAGCACCGGCUAACUCCGUGCCAGCAGCCGCGGUAAUUC